GACGAACGCUGGCGGCGUGCUUAACACAUGCAAGUCGAACGGGCCCGCCCCUGUUUUUGGGGGUGGGUUGAGUGGCGAACGGGUGAGUAUCACGUGAGUAACCUGCCCCCUGCUCCUGGAUAACUGCUUGAAAGGGCGGCUAAUACGGGGUGUGCCGGCUGGUCCGCAUGGGCCUGGUCGGGAUAGUUUCAUCUUCGGGUGUUUCGGUGGGGGAUGGGCUCGCGGCCUAUCAGCUUGUUGGUGGGGUGGUGGCCCACCAAGGCGGUGACGGGUUGCCGGUCUGAGGGGUUGGGCGGCUGAACGGGGACUGGGACACGGCCCAAACGCCUGCGGGAGGCAGCAGUGGGGGGUAGUGCAAAAGGGGCGGAAGCCUGAUGCGGCGACGUCGCGUGAGGGAUGGAGGCCUUCGGGUUGGGAACCUCUUUCUCCGGUGGUGAAGGCCCUGUCCGUUGCGGCGGGGUUGACGGUAGCCGGGUAUGAAGCGCCGGCUAACUACGUG
rnacentral:rRNA from 1 species